rnacentral:rRNA from 1 species
AGAGUUUGAUCCUGGCUCAGGACGAACGCUGGCGGCGUGCCUAAUACAUGCAAGUCGAGCGCGGGAAGCGAGCUGAUCCCUUCGGGGUGACGCUCGUGGAACGAGCGGCGGACGGGUGAGUAACACGUGGGCAACCUGCCUGUAAGAUCGGGAUAACUCCGGGAAACCGGGGCUAAUACCGGGUAAUACUUUCUUUCGCAUGAAGUAAAGUUGAAAGAUGGCUUCUCGCUAUCACUUACAGAUGGGCCCGCGGCGCAUUAGCUAGUUGGUGAGGUAACGGCUCACCAAGGCGACGAUGCGUAGCCGACCUGAGAGGGUGAUCGGCCACACUGGGACUGAGACACGGCCCAGACUCCUACGGGAGGCAGCAGUAGGGAAUCUUCCGCAAUGGACGAAAGUCUGACGGAGCAACGCCGCGUGAACGAUGAAGGUCUUCGGAUCGUAAAGUUCUGUUGUUAGGGAAGAACAAGUACCGUGCGAAUAGAGCGGUACCUUGACGGUACCUAACGAGGAAGCCCCGGCUAACUACGUGCCAGCAGCCGCGGUAAUACGUAGGGGGCAAGCGUUGUCCGGAAUUAUUGGGCGUAAAGCGCGCGCAGGCGGUUCCUUAAGUCUGAUGUGAAAGCCCACGGCUCAACCGUGGAGGGUCAUUGGAAACUGGGGAACUUGAGGACAGA